GUUACUGAAGAGCACAUGUGAGGAUGCCUUGGGAGUAUUGGCCGAUGAAGGACGUGGAAGCCUGCGAUAAGCCUCGGGGAGCUGGCAAACAAGCUUUGAUCCGGGGAUUUCCGAAUGGGGAAACCUAAUCACGCUCGACGUGAUUGUUCUGUUGCUGAAAUGCAGCAGAACGGGAACCCGCUGAACUGAAACAUCUUAGUAAGCGGAGGAAAAGAAAACAAAUGUGAUUCCGUUAGUAGUGGCGAGCGAAAGCGGAACAGCCUUGACUAUUUGACGUUGGUUUUUGCUAGUAGAACGAGCCUGGAAAGGACGGCCAUAGAGGGUGAUAGCCCCGUAUACAAAAGCUAAAAUCAACUAAACAAUAGUCCGCCCCAUCGCAAGGUGGGGUAGAAAGUAGGGCCGGACACGUGAAAUCCGGUCUGAAGAAGUGCCAAUUUAUUGGUACAACGGUGGAUCAUCAUCGAAGGCUAAAUACCAAUACUCACCGAUAGUGAACUAGUACCGUGAGGGAAAGGUGAAAAGUACCCCGAAACGGGGAGUGAAAUAGUACCUGAAACCAUGUGCUUACAAGGAGAAGGAGCCGUGCAUAGCACGGAAUUACUAAUGACAAAUUACUAAUUACUAAUAAAAUGACCGAAUAUCAAAUGACAAAUGAUGAAUUUUGAGACAUUUGGAAUUUAGGCAUUGGAAAUUCAUUAGAAAUUAGGACUUAAAAAUUAGUAAUUCCGAUGCUGUGCAUCGGUGACUUCGUGCCUUUUGGAGAAUGACCCAACGAGUUACUUAGGUGCAGCGAGGAUAAGUCCCUUAGGGAAAUAUCCGCAGCGAAAGCGAGUUGAAAAUCAGCGUUAGUUGCACUUAGUAGACCCGAAACCGGGUGAUCUAUCCAUGAGCAGGCUGAAGCCCCGCGAAGGCGGGGUGGAGGGCCGAACCCACCUAUGUGGCAAAAUGGGGGGAUGACUUGUGGAUAGCGGUAAAAUGCCAAACGAACUCGGAGAUAGCUGGUUCUCCUCGAAAUAUAUAUAGGUAUAGCCUGCGGUUAGAGGGCUUGGUGGUAGAGCACUGGAUGGAUGUCUGGAGAGCAAUCUUCAGCUUCCAAUCAAACUCCGAAUACCAAGUUACCGUUACCGCGGAGUCAGUCCGUGAGGGCUAAGCUUCACGGUCGAGAGGGAAACAACCCAGACCAUCAGCUAAGGUCCCUAAAUGCUUGCUAAGUGUGAAACGAUGUGGCAAAGCUUAGACAACCAGGAGGUUGGCUCAGAAGUAGCCAUCCUUUAAAGAAAGUGUAACAACUCACUGGUCAAGGUUUGCUGCGCGGAAAAUUCAACGGGGCUAAGCAAGCUACCGAAGCUAUGGAUUCCUGUGCUUCGCACAGGAGUGGUAGAGGAGCGUUCGUAGUGUGCUGAAGCUGUUCCGUGAGGAAUGGUGGAACGCUACGAAGUGCGAAUGUUGGGAUGAGUAACGAAUUUUCCGGGCGAGAACCCCGGACACCGAAUACCCAAGGUUUCCCCCGCAACGACGAUCGGCGGGGGGUUAGGCGGUUCCUAAUCUGAAAUAUGAGAUGGAAAGCCGGUUGAUAUUCCGGCCCUCAUCUUGCGAUUACCCCUUUCUGACACUUUCUCAAGCUGGCUGUCUGCUAUGGCUAUGUAUGCAGUCGGGGAGAGAGAGGCAGGAAAAGGAAAGGAUUAAUUUCGCAAGGUAGCCGUACCUCAAACCGACACAGGUGGGUUGGUCGAGAAGACUAAGGUGAGCGAGCUAACUCUCGUUAAGGAACUCGGCAAAAAAGCGUCCGUAACUUAGGGAUAAGGACUGCCCUGCGCAAGCAGGGCCGCAGCGAAUGUUUUUCAGGCGACUGUUUAACAAAAACUUAGGUCCAUGCUAACCCAAAUGGGGAUGUAUAUGGGCUGAUGCCUGCCCAGUGCUAGUAGGUCAAAGCUCUUGCUGAUCUUUGGGCUGAUUACUACUUGUUAGCUUUUAUAUCCAACUGCUGGCGAUAAAUUAUGGCCACAAUGUGUUGGAUAACUAACAGGUAGUAAUCAGUCCGAAGAGAGGUCUAGAGCUCAAGCCCUAGUGAACGGCAGCAGUAACUAUAACUGUUCUAUGGUAGCGAAAUUCCUUGUCGGGUAAGUUCCGACCCGCAUGAAUGGCAUAACGGUCUGAAAACUGUCUCAACGAGAGGCUCGGUGAAAUUGCAAUGCCGGUAAAGAUGCCGGUUAGCCACAGCAAGACGGAAAGACCCCGUGGAGCUUUACUACAGCUUGGUAUUGGUCUUUGGGUAUUUUUGUGUAGCGUAGGUGGGAGAGCGUGCUUUGCACGCUUGCCAAUGAAACACCACCCUUAAAUAUUUGAAGGCCUAACUCCCUCAUAGAGGGAAGACAGUGCUUAGCAGGUAGUUUGACUGGGGCGGUCGCCUCCCAAAGAGUAACGGAGGCGUUCAAAGGUUGGCUUAGCUCGUAUGGAAAGCGAGCCUCAAAGUGUAAAAGCAUAAGCCAGCUUGACUGCAAGACCUACAAGUCGCGCAGACGCGAAAGCGGGAUUUAGUGAUCCUCUGGUACCUAAUGAGUGGGCCAGAGCUCAACGGAUAAAAGCUACCCCGGGGAUAACAGGCUGAUCGCGCCCAAUAGUCCACAUAGACGGCGCGGUUUGGCACCUCGAUGUCGGCUCAUCGCAUCCUGGGGCUGAAGAAGGUCCCAAGGGUUUGGCUGUUCGCCAAUUAAAGCGGUACGCGAGCUGGGUUCAGAACGUAAUUUACGUUGCGUUCUACUGCAGCAAUGCAGUAAAAUAAAUACUGACUAAAAUCGGUGGAACCCUCUUUAGACAAUCCGAACGUUUAAAAGGGCAAUACCGAGGGUAAGACUAAGAGGAAAGUGAAAAAAGAAGAACUUGCUUACAUUGCGGGAUUUCUGGAUGGAGACGGUUGCAUUAUGCUUCAGCUAAUAUAUCGCAAGGAUUAUAUCCUCGGAUAUCAAAUCAGGGCAAGUGUCGUUUUCUACCAGAAACAGCAAAAUCGCAAAUUUCUUGAAUGGCUGAAAUCUAAAUUGCAUGUUGGAUACAUCCGCGAUAGAAACGAUGGCAUGACGGAAUAUACCAUUGUUGGAAUUGACUGUGUUGGGCGGAUUCUCAAAUUGCUCAAGCCAUAUCUAAUUCUGAAGCAAAAACAUGCAAGAAUUGCCCUGCGUGUUCUUGGGCAAAUGCCUGGGAACGGAAGGCAAAUGAAACCGAGAAUCCUCCUUCGGCUCUCAAAAGAAGUAGAUAAAUUCGCUGAUUUGAAUUAUUCAAAAAAGCGAACUAAUACUUCUAGAAAGUUGGAAGAAUUUCUUUUUUCACACAAGCUUCUUAGAUCCCGUAGAGACUGAUCCCUAGGCCCAUCUAGUCAAUGGGCGUAAGGUGAGUCCUAAUAUAAAUUAGGACAAACGUCAGCCCCCAAAUGAGUAAGGACUUUAAUUUGGGGUGAAGAUAUAGUCCAUGCCCUUAGAAAUAAGGGAAUUACAUGCGCGAGACAGUUCGGUCCUAAUCUGCUGUGGCCGUGGAAACUUGAGGGGGACUCUUCCUAGUACGAGAGGACCGGAAGGGGUAAACCUCUGGUGUACCAGUUGUUCCACCAGGAGCAUUGCUGGGUAGCUAUGCUUACUCGGGAUAACCGCUGAAAGCAUAUAAGCGGGAAGCCCACCCCAAGAUUAGGUUUCUCAGACACCUUGAAGAUAACGAGGUUGAUAGGCGCUAGGUGUAAGACCUGUAAGGGUUUCAGCCGAGGCGUACUAAUUGUCAAGU
rnacentral:rRNA from 1 species